rnacentral:rRNA from 1 species
GCGGGGCCUCCGCGCUGCGUGCAGUCGUUGGUAAGAGGAGUGGCGGACGGGUGAGUAACACGUGGGUAACCUACCCAUCAGAGGGGGAUAACACUUGGAAACAGGUGCUAAUACCGCAUAACAGUUUAUGCCGCAUGGCAUAAGAGUGAAAGGCGCUUUCGGGUGUCGCUGAUGGAUGGACCCGCGGUGCAUUAGCUAGUUGGUGAGGUAACGGCUCACCAAGGCCACGAUGCAUAGCCGACCUGAGAGGGUGAUCGGCCACACUGGGACUGAGACACGGCCCAGACUCCUACGGGAGGCAGCAGUAGGGAAUCUUCGGCAAUGGACGAAAGUCUGACCGAGCAACGCCGCGUGAGUGAAGAAGGUUUUCGGAUCGUAAAACUCUGUUGUUAGAGAAGAACAAGGACGUUAGUAACUGAACGUCCCCUGACGGUAUCUAACCAGAAAGCCACGGCUAACUACGUGCCAGCAGCCGCGGUAAUACGUAGGUGGCAAGCGUUGUCCGGAUUUAUUGGGCGUAAAGCGAGCGCAGGCGGUUUCUUAAGUCUGAUGUGAAAGACCCUGGCUUUUUCGGGGAGGGCCAUUGGAAACUGGGAGACUUGAGUGCAGAAUAGGAGAGCGGA